rnacentral:rRNA from 1 species
CCCUUAGAUGUCCUGGGCCGCACGCGCGUUACACUGAUGCAUUCAACGAGCUUAUAACCUUGGCCGAGAGGCCUGGGCAAUCUUGUUAACGUGCAUCGUGAUAGGGAUAGAUUAUUGAAAUUAUUAAUCUUGAACGAGGAAUUCCUGGUAAACGCAGAUCAUCAAUCUGCAUUGAUUACGUCCCUGCCCUUUGUACACACCGCCCGUCGCACCUACCGAUUGGAUGGUCCGGUGGAGCCUCGGGAUUGUGGUUCUUGCCGCUUUAUUGUGGCGUGACCGCGAGAACUUGUCUAAACCUUAUCAUCUAGAGGAAGGUGAAGUCGUAACA